UACGAAGGGGCUAGCGUUGCUCGGAAUCACUGGGCGUAAAGCGCACGUAGGCGGGUCGUUAAGUCGGGGGUGAAAUCCUGGAGCUCAACUCCAGAACUGCCUUCGAUACUGGCGACCUUGAGUCCGGGAGAGGUGAGUGGAACUCCGAGUGUAGAGGUGAAAUUCGUAGAUAUUCGGAAGAACACCAGUGGCGAAGGCGGCUCACUGGUCCGGUACUGACGCUGAGGUGCGAAAGCGUGGGGAGCAAACAGG
rnacentral:rRNA from 1 species